ACGUACACUCCUACGGGAGGCAGCAGUGGGGAAUAUUGGACAAUGGGCGCAAGCCUGAUCCAGCCAUGCCGCGUGAGUGAUGAAGGCCCUAGGGUUGUAAAGCUCUUUCACCGGUGAAGAUAAUGACGGUAACCGGAGAAGAAGCCCCGGCUAACUUCGUGCCAGCAGCCGCGGUAAUACGAAGGGGGCUAGCGUUGUUCGGAUUUACUGGGCGUAAAGCGCACGUAGGCGGACUAUUAAGUCAGGGGUGAAAUCCCGGGGCUCAACCCCGGAACUGCCUUUGAUACUGGUAGUCUUGAGUUCGAGAGAGGUGAGUGGAAUUCCGAGUGUAGAGGUGAAAUUCGUAGAUAUUCGGAGGAACACCAGUGGCGAAGACGGCAUACG
rnacentral:rRNA from 1 species